rnacentral:rRNA from 1 species
CAAGUCAGGUGUGAAAUCAUCGGGCCCAACCCGGUGGCUAUAUCUGAAACUGAUAAGCUAGAGCAUGAGAGGGGUACCUGGAAUUCCUGGUGUAGGAGUGAAAUCCGUAGAUAUCAGGGGAACACCAAUGGCGUAGGCAGGGUACUGGCUCAUUGCUGACACUAAGGCACGAAAGCGUGGGAGCGAACGGGAUUAGAUACCCCGGUAGUCCACGCCGUAAACGAUGAAUGCUA